GGCCAUUACUACGGCCUACCAAGGAGUCCGAACUUGUCGGUUGAAGUUCGGUUGGAGUCUGUAGCUGGAGAGAAGUGGCUAGCUAUUCAUCUGAGAGGAGCUUGGAGUCUGACUCUCGCAGGAGCCCGGAUGGAGUCUUCUUUCAGUUGAAGUCGGGGAUGAGAUCUGGCUCCCGUGGGAGCCCGGACGAAGUCUACCUGCAAUCA
rnacentral:lncRNA from 1 species